rnacentral:snRNA from 1 species
GUCCCUUCAGGGACAUCUGAUAAAAAUGGAAGACACAGAGAUUAGUGGCCAUGCACAAGGAUGACAUGCACAAAUCGAGAAAUGGUCCAAAUUUUG